GUGUCUCUUUCCCCACAGAUGUAACCAGGUUCCUGUGGAGGACACGGCUUUGCUAAGCCUGCCUGGCUUCUGUGUCCUCCUCUGGGCCUGAGUGCAGAGGGUGAGAGUCCACAUCCCCAGAACCAUGGGGACUGAACAGGAUUACUACAGAGCAGCAAAGAAGUGGGGCACCAAAGGAAAGAGUACACAACACCUUGUGAACACAGAAUUCUGGUGGACCCAGAAUAUGUGGGAGUUCAGUGAGACUUAAAGAGGAAAAGAUUUCUGCCUACACCAGGCCAGACAUCAAGGGAAAACAAUUAUCACAAAGUGUCUUCCACCAGAUUUGCAAGGCAGGAGAGAGGUAAUUUCACAAGGGGACUGUGGCAUCCAAAGCACAGCAACUUGAGUUGAGCCACUUCAAUAUUCUCCCAUAAAUUCCCUGGGACAACUUUAAAAAGAGUCGACUUUACAUCUUCUGUCUACAAUCAUCUAUUUUCACAUCAAGAUGAACAACAUUAUCCUCAUCUGCGGGAGGAUCUGAGACUAGCGCCUCGACACGAGGCUUUCUACUUAAUGUUGUAAUGACAGGUGUAAGAUUAACUUUGUUAGGUGUCUAGCCACUCAUGCAAACUAAAUUAAAUUAAUGGAACAAAUUUCUCUCAUAAUUAAGAUAAAAAUUCAUGUCAGCUGUAACCUUGCUGUACACUAAUUAUAUACAAAUGAUUUAUCAUCUGCUUCGCCCAGAAUAUUAAUCCUUACCUCAUUGAUAACUGCAGCCAGUGUUAAGAGAUGAGAGUUGAUUAACUAUGACAGAUUGGGCAACCACAGCCCUCGGUGCCGGCGCUACCAGUGAAACCAAUAACACUCAAGUAGCUCUCUGUGUUUAAAAUGCAUUCCCAUGGAAACAGAUGCAUGCUUAAUGAAGGAUACUGAGAUUAUUUUCAAUAAUGACUGAUAUUGGAACAGUGGGCAGAGCUGAUCAAUAACAAUUAACCACUUAGUCUGCUAAAGACAUGGUUAGAGAAAGCAGGUUAUUUCCACAUUAGCAGAACCUUAUUCGAAGCCGAGUGCUCCAUAAUGUCUCUAUGCUGCACCGUUUCCCUUUUUCCCUGCCUGGGAGGGGCUCCAUGGUGGAGAGAUGGUAUUGUGCCAAGCGCCCUCCUGUCGCCUCUUAGCGCCUGCUUAUGAAAUGAGUGAUUGAUGUUGCCAGCGGUUCUUUGGAUGCUCUCAAGAUAGCUGCCAAAUGUAUCAAGGAAAGUCCAAAAGCAACUGUGACCAUGAAACUAAUAUUGCUUUGUAUGGAUUUGGUUUGGUAGAAAACUUUACUGCCAAGGCGUAACUCAAUUGUACAGAAAUUUCUUUUGAUCUUUCAUUGUAUGCUUUUUAAUUUAAUUUUAAAGAAUCCAAGACGAGUCGUGUAGAUAUUUAAGGAAAUCCUUUGCUUUGGACUCCUGUCAUACUGGCUGGAAAGGGCUUUAAUAACAUAAAUUUAAUAAUAGAUAUGGCUUUCAACACUAUUUGGAAAUUUGCACUUUUAUUUUGUAUUAAUUUGAAUCACCCCAGGAGUCAAGAUCUUGCAAUGCUAAUUACUAAUAUAGACUCCCAGAAUCCCUACCCUGACAGUCAGCUUGGAGAAAUCCCAACUCCCUGGGCCAAAAAGUGUUAAUAAAAAGUGAUUAGCUACUUAGGCCAAGGCAUAUUAUAAUAAUGCAUUAUAUUUCCCUUGAAUGGAUGAUAUGCAUUCUCAUUUCUCUGAAUGAAGAAAAUGGUUGAGGGAGAUGAAAAUUCAGUCACUUCGACUGACAUUAUUACUGAAAGAAUCAAGCUUUUAAAACAAAUAGAAGAAUGCUGCUUUCUCUGCACUUCUUAGAUUUAAGACUCCAAUCUGAAAAUGCAA
rnacentral:lncRNA from 1 species